AGCGCUCCUCAGAAAUCCCCCACCCGCAACGCACUCAUAGUGGCAAGUUCCAAGGUAAGUUUAGCCACAAUCUCUGGUGUUGCACUCAACUGGUUAAUCUUUUUCCUCGGCUCCCGUGCCAACCCCCUAGAACAGCGGACGCCAUCCACCCUGCCCUCCACCAAGCAUCCAGGGGCGCUGCUUUCUUGCAAAAAGCCGUAUGUCAAAGUUCUGCAUCCCGGUUGGACGCGCCCUCCCAACCCUCCCAGCCCUGCCGGCUGCUGGCUCUGCAGUUUUCCAAAUGUGGAUGAUGCUGGGAGAAACUCCAGGCGCCCCCUCGGAGCCACGCGGCACCAGCACCCACAGCACCCACCUCACCGGAGGGCACACCCCCACCACUGCCGAUAAGUUUUCAGGGGCUUUCCUAGCUGGUGGGCAGCUGAAGCAGCCAGCUGAGAGGGACUCACCAGGGAGCCCUGGGCGCCCCUCGGGCUGGGCUGGUGACCGCGGCAGCGGUGGCGGCGGGCGCAGGGUCGCGGCUCCCCGGGAGAUGCUGCAGCAGCGGCAGCGGUAGCCACCUCCUCCCGGAGCCAAUCGCAAAUGCAGGGGUGGGGGCGGGCCGGAGCUCCCAUUGCGUCCGCACUUGGUGGGGAGGGGGGGCAGAGAGAGAAAGAAGACACCGCGACUCCGCACCCCUGCCCUUCCCCCAGCCCUCCUGCAGCAGCGCAGACUUAGCAGCAGGGAAAUCUUGAGAGAGAAGGAGGAAGAGGGAGAGGGAAAGAGAGAGAGAAGAGGGAGGGGAGUGGAGGGGUGGGAGAGAGAGAGAGAGAGAGAGAGAGAGAGAGAGAGAGAGAGAGAGAGAGAGAGAGAGAGAGAGAGCCGAUGCAGAGUUAAGGAGGCAGAGCCCAGCUGCACACCUUGCCCGGCCAAAGCUGCAGGAAGCUCCUGCACCCUCCUCAGCCCUGCCGGUACCAGGUAGAGGUCAGAGCAGAACAAAAAGGAAAAAGAGAAAGGCCCCGCGGGAGACAUAGCUGAGUAGCCUGACCUCCCGGGACAACUCACAGACGGUGAGGGGAAGGCACCCCUUCAGCUUCACCCCAAAGCUCUUGGGCACCCAACAGGAAAGGACACUGACAGAGACCAGCCUGCAGAGGCUACAAGAUGGAGAAGAAGCCACAUCAUGCGGAUGAGAGAGCCAAACCACACACAAGAGAAAUGAAGUCACUAUCCAGGCUGGUUGUGACCGGUGUCCCAACCAAGGAAGGAGAAACAGAGAGGAGCAUCUGCACUGCUGGCCGAGCUGCAGGAAACAAGACUGAGGAGACGCUGUUCCCAUCCAACCCCAUAUCUUCACUCCCAACCCUGAGCAGUCCACACCAGUGACGGCCACUGCAGAACAUAAGAAGAUUCUUCAACAACGGUUUCACUUAGCCCAGGGCUACCAGCAAGUUUGCCUGCCAUGUCCCUGAAGAUGACCUUGAACUUUUGACCCUCCUGUCUGGACCCCUAGAGUACUAGGAUUACAGUCCUGUCUAGAGCUGGAACAUGCUGUGAAGUGGACAGAAGAUUGCCCCUGACCCCGCCUUCUCAAGAAUACCCCAGAACCUCAGACCAUGUCUCUCUGUGUGAGGGUCAGUCUUCCUUGUCAGCUUGUUAGAAUCACUGUGGACACACACAUCUGAGCGUGUCAGCAAGGGCAUUUCUGAGGAGGCUUAACUGAGGUAGAAAGACCCAACAUGACAAUGGGCCAAAGCAUCCUGCAGGCUUGAAUGGGACAUGUGCUGAAAAAGAAAGAGUAAGCUAGAAACCAAUGCUCAUCCCUUUCUGCGUUCUGACCUCAGAUGCCGUGUGAUCAACCUACCUUGAGCUUCUCCCACCAUUGCCCAUCACCGUGAUGGACUGCAUCCCCUUAAACUGUAAGUCAACAGAAGCCCUUCCUUAAAUUACUCCUUUCUGGGUAUGUGAUCAUGGUAAUACAGUACCUUGCAUGGCAGACGGGGUUAAUUUAAGGAAUUCUGGGCGGAUCAUCUUGGACACUGGAUCCUUAUAGAGGGAAGGAUAACUAGAGAUUUGGAAGUACCUGUUACUACUGACUUUGGAUGGAGGAAAGGGCCAGGAAUGGAAGGUUAAGUGGUCUAGAAGCUGGAAAUCAACAGGCAUAGACUCGCCUAUAGCUUACAGAGGGAGUCACCUGACAUUGGGCUGCACUUCUAACCUAUUUAAAAAAAAAAUCAUUGAGCACUCAAGGGCUAAAUGUCUGGUUGUGUGUAACAGAAAUGGUAGUACACUCACUCUGCCUUGUGACUUUCCAAGAAACCCUCCCAGUGAGUAGAGUCCACAAGGGCCCACCCUGAGACUCCCUGUGGCCUGCACAAAUGGUAGAAUCAACUUCCAUGUGUUCUUGGGCCCUCACCAGCAAUACCCAGCAUGCUCUACGCUGAAUUCCAAGGGAGCCAGGCAGGAAGGUGUGUGAGGAAAUGGUCCCUGGGCGGGGGUGGGGAGGACACUGGCCAAGGGGAAGGAACAACUUGGUGGAUACUCCUGCCCAUAUCCUAUAGCUAUGCCCAUGGACCAACUCUCUGUGCUGUCCCAGCCUGGGCCUGGCAUGACUUGGGUAUGGCUACUGGCUCCAUAGGCAACAAAGCCAGUGAGAAGAUACCCUGGGCUUCAUGCAAAUCCGUGAUGUCUCUCUGCCAGUGUCUACACUACACAUAUGCAGUUCUGUCCAGGAUGGACAGCUGGUCAUUAAAAGCCAGGAAUUAAAGCAGG